rnacentral:rRNA from 1 species
GAGACUCUGUGCGCGUGCAUAUCAAUAAGCGGAGGAAAAGAAACUAACAAGGAUUCCCCUAGUAACGGCGAGUGAAGCGGGAAGAGCUCAAAUUUGAAAUCUUAAAGGGUUUCCCUUUACGAAUUGUAGUUUAAAGAAGUGUUUUCUGUUGGAGUUUCGGUAAAAGUUCUUUGGAAUAGGACAUCAUAGAGGGUGAGAAUCCCGUAUUUGACCGUUACUUUCCAGCUGUGUGAUACACUUUCAAAGAGUCGGAUUGUUUGGGAAUGCAGUCCAAAAUGGGUGGUAAAUUUCAUCUAAAGCUAAAUAUUGGCGAGAGACCGAUAGCGAACAAGUACCGUGAGGGAAAGAUGAAAAGAACUUCGAAAAGAGAGUUAAACAGUACGUGAAAUUGUCAAAAGGGAAGCGUUUGACACCAGUGUUGUUUUCUCGAAAAUCAAUUAAAAAUGGUGGGAUGUUGUGUUGUAUUGACUUUAUCAGCUUUCUGCACUUUUUUCCUAUCUUUUUUAAUGCACUUUUCGUUUAACAAGUCAACGUCAAUUUCUUCUGUUGUAAAAGGGUCAUUGGAAGGUGGCUUUCUUUUCGGAGAAAGUGUUUAUAGCCUUUGGCCUCUGCAAUCGGAGAGAUUGAGGUCUGCAGCGUAGGUCCUUCGGGGUUAGAUACAUUUGUGCUAAGCUAUAGCCUUUCAUAGACAACUUGUUGACUAUGAUCAGUCAUGUAGCUUACUCGCUUAUGCUAUUUUACCUACGCUUAGGAUGUUGAAGAUGUAGCACAUCAU